UUCUCCUCAGGCUUUUUGAGUAGGAUCAAGUGCAGUAUCUGUUCUUAGUUUAUCAUCUGACACAUCCCAUAUCCGGAAACCUUUAUAUUAGAUGGAUUUUGGAAGACGGGGGACGAUUCCUAAGCCUGCUUCCGUCACCUUAUGCGUGUGACUGAUAGGGCAGUUUCUGCAGGUUCAGCGCGUCCCAC